GCUAACGUCCGUCGUGAAGAGGGAAACAACCCAGACCGCCAGCUAAGGUCCCUAAAAUUGGCUAAGUGGGAAACGAAGUGGGAAGGCUAAAACAGUCAGGAUGUUGGCUUAGAAGCAGCCAUCAUUUAAAGAAAGCGUAAUAGCUCACUGAUCGAGUCGUCCUGCGCGGAAGAUGUAACGGGGCUAAGCAGAUAACCGAAGCUGCGGAUGUACACGUAAGUGUAUGUGGUAGGGGAGCGUUCUGUAAGCCUGCGAAGGUGUCUUGUAAAGGAUGCUGGAGGUAUCAGAAGUGCGAAUGCUGACAUAAGUAACGACAAUGCGGGUGAAAAACCCGCACGCCGGAAGACCAAGGGUUCCUGCGCAACGCUAAUCGGCGCAGGGUGAGUCGGCCCCUAAGGCGAGACCGAAAGGUGUAGUCGAUGGGAAACGGGUUAAUAUUCCCGUACCUUGGAUAGCUGCGAUGGAGAGACGGAGAAGGCUAGGUGAGCCGGGCGACGGUUGUCCCGGUUUAAGCGAGUAGGGAGUGGACUUAGGCAAAUCCGGGUCCACAAUCUCGAGACGCGACGACGACUGCUCUUAGAGCGGGAAGUCAUUGAUGCCAUGCUUCCAGGAAAAUCUUCUAAGCUUCAGGCUAUUCGAGACCGUACCCCAAACCGACACAGG
rnacentral:rRNA from 14 species